UUGUUUAUAUCAAGAGAUACUUUAACAUCGAAUACAUUAUUUUGUUAUAAAAACCAGAACAGUGUUAAAUACUGCCUCAUUUAGAAGUUUGAGUAAAUAUUAUGUAGCCCCAUCAUGUAUUAAACUGACUAGUAUUGAUUUUUGUUGGAAGAUAAAGAAGGACGCAUUGAUUAUGAUUAUUAUAUCCUUAACAUUAGUAUUGAUAUGUAUACUUCAAUGUGAUUUUUUUUUGUUUUUUGCUACAUGUAUAUGUUGACAGUUUGGUGUCCUUAUAAACCAAUCAAAUUGU
rnacentral:misc_RNA from 1 species